rnacentral:misc_RNA from 1 species
UACGUGGGUGGCAAGCGUUGUCCGGAAUUAUUGGGCGUAAAGCGCGCGCAGGCGGCCUUUUAAGUCUGAUGUGAAAGCCCCCGGCUCAACCGGGGAGGGUCAUUGGAAACUGGGAGGCUUGAGUACAGAAGAGGAGAGUGGAAUUCCACGUGUAGCGGUGAAAUGCGUAGAUAUGUGGAGGAACACCAGUGGCGAAGGCGACUCUCUGGUCUGUAACUGACGCUGAGGUGCGAAAGUGUGGGGAUCAAACAGG